rnacentral:rRNA from 1 species
GACGAACGCUGGCGGCGUGCUUAACACAUGCAAGUCGAACGGAAAGGCCCUGCUUGCAGGGUACUCGAGUGGCGAACGGGUGAGUAACACGUGGGUGAUCUGCCCUGCACUUCGGGAUAAGCUUGGGAAACUGGGUCUAAUACCGGAUAGGAGCCAUCUUUAGUGUGGUGGUUGGAAAGUUUUUUCGGUGUAGGAUGAGCUCGCGGCCUAUCAGCUUGUUGGUGGGGUAAUGGCCUACCAAGGCGGCGACGGGUAGCCGGCCUGAGAGGGUGUACGGCCACAUUGGGACUGAGAUACGGCCCAGACUCCUACGGGAGGCAGCAGUGGGGAAUAUUGCACAAUGGGCGCAAGCCUGAUGCAGCGACGCCGCGUGGGGGAUGAAGGCCUUCGGGUUGUAAACUCCUUUCGCUAGGGACGAAGCUUUUUUGUGACGGUACCUAGAGAAGAAGCAACGGCUAACUACGUG